AUUGAACGCUGGCGGAAUGCUUUACACAUGCAAGUCGAACGGUAGAGGGGGCAACCCCUUGAGAGUGGCGAACGGGUGAGUAAUAUAUCGGAACGUGCCCAGUCGUGGGGAUAACGUAGCGAAAGUUACGCUAAUACCGCAUACGAUCUAAGGAUGAAAGCGGGGGAUCGCAAGACCUCGCGCGAUUGGAGCGGCCGAUAUCAGAUUAGGUAGUUGGUGAGGUAAAGGCUCACCAAGCCAACGAUCUGUAGCUGGUCUGAGAGGACGACCAGCCACACUGGAACUGAGACACGGUCCAGACUCCUACGGGAGGCAGCAGUGGGGAAUUUUGGACAAUGGACGCAAGUCUGAUCCAGCCAUUCCGCGUGCAGGAUGAAGGCCCUCGGGUUGUAAACUGCUUUUGUACGGAACGAAAAGGUUUCUAUUAAUACUAGGAGCUCAUGACGGUACCGUAAGAAUAAGCACCGGCUAACUACGUAGCCAGCAGCCGCGGUAAAGU
rnacentral:rRNA from 1 species